AGCGUACACGGUGGAUGCCCUGGCAGUCAGAGGCGAUGAAGGACGUGCUAAUCUGCGAUAAGCGUCGGUAAGGUGAUAUGAACCGUUAUAACCGGCGAUUUCCGAAUGGGGAAACCCAGUGUGAUUCGUCACACUAUCAUUACGUGAAUACAUAGCGUAAUGAAGCGAACCGGGGGAACUGAAACAUCUAAGUACCCCGAGGAAAAGAAAUCAACCGAGAUUCCCCCAGUAGCGGCGAGCGAACGGGGAGCAGCCCAGAGUCUGAAUCAGCUUGUGUGUUAGUGGAACGGUCUGGAAAGUCCGACGGUACAGGGUGAUAGUCCCGUACACCAAAAUGCACAGGCUGUGAACUCGAAGAGUAGGGCGGGACACGUGGUAUCCUGUCUGAAUAUGGGGGGACCAUCCUCCAAGGCUAAAUACUCCUGACUGACCGAUAGUGAACCAGUACCGUGAGGGAAAGGCGAAAAGAACCCCGGCGAGGGGAGUGAAAAAGAACCUGAAACCGUGUACGUACAAGCAGUGGGAGCCUCUUUAUGGGGUGACUGCGUACCUUUUGUAUAAUGGGUCAGCGACUUAUAUUCUGUAGCAAGGUUAACCGAAUAGGGGAGCCGAAGGGAAACCGAGUCUUAACUGGGCGUUAAGUUGCAGGGUAUAGACCCGAAACCCGGUGAUCUAGCCAUGGGCAGGUUGAAGGUUGGGUAACACUAACUGGAGGACCGAACCGACUAAUGUUGAAAAUUAGCGGAUGACUUGUGGCUGGGGGUGAAAGGCCAAUCAAACCGGGAGAUAGCUGGUUCUCCCCGAAAGCUAUUUAGGUAGCGCCUCGUGAACUCAUCUUCGGGGGUAGAGCACUGUUUCGGCUAGGGGGUCGAUCCCGACCUUACCAACCCGAUGCAAACUGCGAAUACCGAAGAAUGUUAUCACGGGAGACACACGGCGGGUGCUAACGUCCGUCGUGAAGAGGGAAACAACCCAGACCGCCAGCUAAGGUCCCAAAGUCACAGUUAUGUGGGAAACGAUGUGGGAAGGCACAGACAGCCAGGAUGUUGGCUUAGAAGCAGCCAUCAUUUAAAGAAAGCGUAAUAGCUCACUGGUCGAGUCGGCCUGCGCGGAAGAUGUAACGGGGCUAAACUGUGCACCGAAGCUGCGGCAGCGACACUAUGUGUUGUUGGGUAGGGGAGCGUUCUGUAAGCCGUUGAAGGUGUGUCGUGAGGCAUGCUGGAGGUAUCAGAAGUGCGAAUGCUGACAUAAGUAACGAUAAUGCGGGUGAAAAACCCGCACGCCGGAAGACCAAGGGUUCCUGUCCAACGUUAAUCGGGGCAGGGUGAGUCGACCCCUAAGGCGAGGCCGAAAGGCGUAGUCGAUGGGAAACAGGUUAAUAUUCCUGUACUUGGUGUUACUGCGAAGGGGGACGGAGAAGGCUAUGUUAGCCGGGCGACGGUUGUCCCGGUUUAAGCAUGUAGGCGGAGGUUCCAGGUAAAUCCGGUACCUUUUUAACGCUGAGGUGUGAUGACGAGGCACUACGGUGCUGAAGUAGCAAAUGCCCUGCUUCCAGGAAAAGCCUCUAAGCAUCAGGUAACACCAAAUCGUACCCCAAACCGACACAGGUGGUCAGGUAGAGAAUACCAAGGCGCUUGAGAGAACUCGGGUGAAGGAACUAGGCAAAAUGGUGCCGUAACUUCGGGAGAAGGCACGCUGAUAUGUAGGUGAAGUGAUUUACUCAUGGAGCUGAAAUCAGUCGAAGAUACCAGCUGGCUGCAACUGUUUAUUAAAAACACAGCACUGUGCAAACACGAAAGUGGACGUAUACGGUGUGACGCCUGCCCGGUGCCGGAAGGUUAAUUGAUGGGGUUAUCCGUAAGGAGAAGCUCUUGAUCGAAGCCCCGGUAAACGGCGGCCGUAACUAUAACGGUCCUAAGGUAGCGAAAUUCCUUGUCGGGUAAGUUCCGACCUGCACGAAUGGCGUAAUGAUGGCCAGGCUGUCUCCACCCGAGACUCAGUGAAAUUGAACUCGCUGUGAAGAUGCAGUGUACCCGCGGCAAGACGGAAAGACCCCGUGAACCUUUACUAUAGCUUGACACUGAACACUGGUCCUUGAUGUGUAGGAUAGGUGGGAGGCUUUGAAGUGUGGACGCCAGUCUGCAUGGAGCCAACCUUGAAAUACCACCCUUUAAUGGCUGGUGUUCUAACGUGGGCCCGUAAUCCGGGUUGCGG
rnacentral:rRNA from 1 species